CCUACGGGAGGCAGCAGUAGGGAAUAUUGCUCAAUGGGGGAAACCCUGAAGCAGCAACGCCGCGUGGAGGAUGAAGGUUUUCGGAUUGUAAACCCCUUUUGUUAGAGAAGAUAAUGACGGUAUCUAACGAAUAAGCACCGGCUAACUCCGUGCCAGCAGCCGCGGUAAUACGGAGGGUGCAAGCGUUACUCGGAAUCACUGGGCGUAAAGAGCGCGUAGGCGGGAUAGCAAGUCAGAUGUGAAAUCCUAUGGCUUAACCAUAGAACUGCAUUUGAAACUGUUAUUCUAGAGUAUGGGAGAGGUAGGUGGAAUUCUUGGUGUAGGGGUAAAAUCCGUAGAGAUCAAGAGGAAUACUCAUUGCGAAGGCGACCUGCUGGAACAUUACUGACGCUGAUGCACGAAAGCGUGGGGAGCAAACAGGAUUAGAUACCCGUGUAGUC
rnacentral:rRNA from 1 species